UCGAGAUUCAUAAGAGACGAGGGAGCCGAAGAAGAGGCGACGAAUUCCGCGACCGUGUCGCUGCCGGGUGUUGCCGUCCGAGACCCGGAGACGAUGGAGUAUACUCCAGCCGAGAGAUUCCAUCGUUUUCCUUCUCUUCUCCAUUUUGCUAUUCGAAAUAUUUUAGGUUUCAAAUGUUUGAUCUCGUGCUAGGUGAUUGCCGAUUUUGAUGGCAGGCACGCUCGCGACGUACUGGAUUUAUGGCCGCGGUGGUCAGAGUAGAUUACAUUUAAUUUCUUCCUCUCUUUUAUUAAGGGUAAAUGACGUUGGUUUCGGUUAGAUUCUUGGUUUGUUGUGGUUGGGUAGCCAUGGAUUGCUAUAGCAGGGGAAUGCUGCAGGAGGAAAAAACUAAGCUGAUGAAAGAAUGGAACAUAAAUAUACUUGCUUCAGAACAGUCCUGGUUUGGUUGCCGGUCCAUCUGUACGACAUAGUUUUGUCCUAGGUCUAGAAAUUAUUGAACUGAUUUUUUUGUUUUCAUCUGUUGGCUAUUUUAGUUGUCCCAGAAUUGCUCGCCCCUACAAUUUUGGCCUGGAUUGAUCCUUUCCCUUUCCUACGCCAACAUUUCUUGGCUAUAAACACAUUUGUCAGCAGCAAAUACCCUUAGACAUCAUACAAUUAGAUGUCAUGUAACGUAAAAAGCAUGUAUUGGAUCUUCAUAUCCUGGCUACAAAUCUCUCAAGGUGCUGGGUUGUGUUAUGUUUGACCUGUUUACUAAAUUGAUCAGGUUUACAAUACCCAAGUCUUAUAUUGAGCUGGAAUAUGGAUUUAUAAAGCAUCGUAAGUACUUUUUAGGAGGCUUAGCUGACAUGGUUUUGGGCUUGGAUCCAACAAUAUGGUAUAGAGAUAAUCACAUAUUUUACAUUACAUGGCAUCCAAUCACUAUUGUGCUUAAAAUAUAUUCAUCAAGGAGGAGGAUCUUUAAUUUGUAGGAAUCUUGCCGCGGGCAGUUUCGAUGCUUGUCAACCCAUUCAAUAAUUGUUUGCACUAUCUACAAGUGGUAUUAGUUUGGAUUCUCACUUAUUACAAUUUGGUCAUUUAUAUCAACUUACCACUAUUUUUUUCAGGUAGUAGAAUACUAAAAAUAUAUUGUUCUUUUAUUGACCUUAUAUGCAUUAAUAUGUGGCUACACCUACUUACAUGUUCCAAUGUGAAUGUCUAUCUUUAUGUAAUAGAUGUCUUCAGUGGAGUAGGUUAAUUAAAUAUGUUGAUUUAGAGGAGCCAUUACAGCAGACCUUUAUUACCAGCCAUUUCUCUGUACUCUGUGGUUAUUUUAAGACAACAAAACUCAUGAAAUUGAUGGAUUAAGUACAACUUAUUUUCUGUUAUGUUAACUUGCUGUCCUAAAUAGGCUCUUGGAAUGAUCUUAGACCACGUGAAUGUAAAAUAACAACCCAGUUAUGUUGAUUGUUUAGUUCAAUUCUGUAUGUUCGAUUGUGCAGGCUCACUACUUGUGCACAUUUUUAUUUGAAGUUAUAUAACUAAAUCAUAUAUUAAUUUAUAAUAAUAUUAAAUCUUUGUACUAUUUGAUCUCUAUUAAUGGUUAAAACAAUUUAAUGCCUGCUUAAAUUUUUAACUUCUAGUUGUAAAUGUUUUAUCAUUAUGACAUAGUUGCUGAGUUGGUGUUUUCUUUUUCACCUAUCCUGAGACUAUUAACCUUGUAAUUUGUUUCUUGUACUCAUCGAAACUUGUGUAGUAGUAAAUCAAAUAAUAGAUUGCAAUUGUAUCAGUUAGGAUAGCCUGUAAAGAUCAGAACUUCUGUAGAUAGAUGAGCCAACUUGAUGUUUGUCCAUUGGUCCUACUCCGACUGAUCCAUGGACUUGGCCAUAAGACGAGCCAUGUUCUGCAUGGUUCAUAACUUCUAUAAGAGGCACUAUGGUUAAGAAGGUCUCCUGGAGAGGUCUCUAAAGGAUUUUUCCUCUGAGUUCCUUUAUUUCUUUGGUAGUUUGAUAUCAUGUUAUCUUGGGCUGUCUAGUUUGACAAACAGAUAUUAGCAUUAGGCCAUGUCAAGGACUUUCGUUCUCCAAGACUUGAAGACCAUGUAUGAUAGAUCAUGGUCUUCUCAUUAAAAAAAAUUAUACUCUGAUGAUUGCUUAUAUUAUGUUAAAGAAAUUUAAUUACUGUAAAACUAAUAUAUUUACCACGGUUGAAACCGCCACAGAUUUGAGAUUAUGGGAUAAAUUUAUCUAUCCUCUGAGCCAUAGUCUAGGCAGUUCUACAUCUCUGAAACUUUCAAAUCUUUGUAAAUCAACUAGUGUUGAUUAAUAUAGAAAUUUUCUCCUUAUAAGUCCUGAAUUAUGAGAACCUUGUUUUUCCAUACUAAGGUUUUAGAAGUCAGAAAAUUCCCUGAUUUGUUCGGCAGUUGUCAUCACUGAAGAGGUUGAAAAAAUUAGCCGCCUUCUGAUUUUGUUUUGUCCUACACAUCGCCCUUAUUGGGACAAAGUAAGCCCUAAUCACGGACAGUGCGCCCAGAUUCCUUUGUUGAGACUGCCUUCCAUUUAUCCUGUUUAUUUUAAGGAAAAUGGGGAUCACUGCCCAACCACUGCCGCCAUCCUCCCUUAACCCAGAAGAAAGGAGAAGAUAGAGGAGAGAAAAAUGAGAUCAUGAGGAAAGGCUGGAAGUGGAAAAGGAACUGAAAGGAGAGAUGAUAGAAAAGAUUCCAUAAUUAUUAUCUGCAAGGUAAAUUUAUGAUUAACUAGGGAAAAGUUGUCCAUUUCUAACUGGUUGGUAAAAAUUGACCUCCAUCAAUUUCUGGGAUCUGCUUCUUAGUCCACAGUCCAAAAGUACUCAGACUUGUGUUGGGUGUUUAUUAGACUAGCUAAAUUAAUAGAACUUUUUUUUGCAUCAUGCAGGAAAGAAGUGUGCCUGUUCUUGUCCUUUCUGCUGGUAUUGCAGACAUCAUUGAAGAGGUUUUCAGGCAGAAACUUCAUAGAUCUUUUGAGAAUAUUAGGGUUAUUUCUAACAGAAUGGUGUUUUACGAAAAGGGUCAUCUUGUUGCUAAUAAAGGUAAUUCUUUAUUUUUUUAGUUCUUCAAAAUAUCCAGUAAACAGAAGCUAAUAUUUUAUGGAUUUUUUCCUUUGAACAUAUAAGUCGUAGCCUAGAUUCUUUAAGCGUACGAAUGCUUUUGCUUGUUCAAGGUCUAUUUGCAGUUGACCUUUCAUCUCAAUAUGACAAUUCCAGAGUUGGGAUUUUUUAAAGCGCCAAAGAUCGUAUAAGAUAACUACACAAUGAAGUCUAAAAUUGAUCAUAGCUGGAAAUAUUGUGAUGAAUUUUGAUAAAUAUUUCAUAUUAAUUAUGAAAAAGCUUGGAUAUAAAAGAUGCAGAAAAAAGAUUGAUGAACUAAUCUGAGAAGUUACGUAAAAAAUUAUCUUUCUUUUUAACUAAAUUGGGGUCAAUAGGAAAAGGUAAAAUAUAAGAUUCCGGUGCUUGUCAGAUUAUCAUGUCAUAUUAUGAGAUUGUGUUAAUACCUUCACAGCUGGUUUGUUCGUGCCAGUCAGCAGGUUCAUGUACAAAUCAGCAUAGGCAAAAAACUGGCUUGGCUGUUGGCAUUUCGAGCAUGGUCUGUUAUGGUGUGUGGCCUACGUACUCUUUGCAUAGUAGGUUUUGACAAUCUCAACAUUUUCCUAUCAGUGUGGUAACCCAGGGACUUAUUACCCAAAAUACCUAAACCCCACUACAAACUGAAAAAAGGGAAAGUGAACCAUGUUCAUCCUUAAAAUAUUUCAUUCAUGAAUUUUACUAUGCAUUUUUCUACUUCUCAUGUUGUACUGCUUUGCUGCAACUGAUAGUGAUCACAUGGAAGAAUGAGCCUCCUUCAGAUAUGGCUGCUCCUAUUCAUAACAGAUUCGAAGCUCCUAAUCGUCUAACCAUGGUAAUGUUGUGGUGAAGAAAAGAACUAAUGUGAUACUUAUCGGAGAUCAUAUCACAGACCUGGGCACGGUAGCUGUUCGAUUUCUCAUAGGUUGAAGUUGUCUUCUAUGGGACUGAGGCAUGGUUGAAGAAGACAUGAAUCCAUGGCCAUGCUUGCAACAAUGGGAGACCCACAAGGUCAGGAGAACAAUGAGGUUGAAGAGAGUGUCGAUGGAGCUGAUGGUGUCAAAUAUGUGUUGAACAAGGAACAAGAAGCACAGGUUUUUUUUUUCCCAUUCAUGCAUGCAAUUACAUAGGACAAGGCUUCAUGGAAUGUGUAGUGAGUGUUAUUGUUCGUUCACAUGCCACAAUCUGUAGUUAACAAAAGACUGCAUUUUUAUAUUCUGAUACUGCUGUUUCAUUUAGCCUCUAGCGCUCAACU